rnacentral:rRNA from 1 species
CUACGGGACGCUGCAGUGAGGAAUUUUGCGCAAUGGGGGAAACCCUGACGCAGCAACGCCGCGUGAGUGAAGAAGGCCUUUGGGUCGUAAAGCUCUGUCAACUGGGAAGAAGUUACAUCAUUUUAAUAGAAUGUUGUAUUGACGGUACCAGUGGAGGAAGCGCCGGCUAACUCCGUGCCAGCAGCCGCGGUAACACGGGGGGCGCAAGCGUUAUGUCGGAAUUAUUGGGCGUAAAGGGCGCGCAGGCGGUCUUGUCAGUCAGGUGUGAAAGCCCGGGGCUCAACCCUGGAAGUGCACUUGAAACAGCAAGACUUGAAUACGGGAGAGGAGAGAGGAAUUCCUGGUGUAGAGGUGAAAUUCGUAGAUAUCAGGAGGAACACCGAUGGCGAAGGCAUCUCUCUGGACCGAUAUUGACGCUGAGGCGCGAAGGCGUGGGUAGCGAACGGGAUUAGAUACCCCCGUAGUC